CUCGUGGUGCCAGCCUGGCCAAGUUGGAGCAUGUGAACAGCUGAAGAAAAAGAGCUAGUGAAGGAGAGGUAUUGCAGCAGGUGGUGUGGGUGAUACUGGCUGCACUGUUGGAGCCUGGACUCAGAGAGGAAUGAGUGAGCACAGCCGUGUGUUGCUUCAGUGGUAGUCAGCAUUGCGGAGGAGGUGGGUAUCAGGGCUGGUGUGCUAGUGAAUGCUGGUACUCUGUUUUUGCAGAUGAUGAUGAGCCUGGCUAUUGAUUGCCUAAGAUGUCUCUCAGUGCCUGUGCAUUUCUUGAGGUGGAGGGAAUUUACCAUCCAGCAAUCUGAGAGCUAAGCUGAGGGGCACCUGGUAUUUGCA